AGUAACGGCGAGUGAACAGGGAAAAGCCCAAAUUUGUAAUCUGGCACUUUUUACAAGUGUCCGAGUUGUAAUUUGUAGAACUGUUAUCCGUCCUGGACCAUGUACAAGUCUGUUGAAAAGCAGCAUCAUUGAAGGUGAAAAUCCUGUAGAUGAUAUGGACUACCAGUACUUUUGUGAUACGGUUUCUAAGAGUCGAGUUGUUUGGGAAUGCAGCUCAAAGUGGGUGGUAAAUUCCAUCUAAGGCUAAAUAUAAGUGAGAGACCGAUAGCAAACAAGUACCGUGAGGGAAAGAUGAAAAGAACUUUGAAAAUAGAGUUAACAGUACGUGAAAUUGCUGAAAGGGAAACGUUUGAAGUUAGUUUUGUAUUCGUUGGAUCAGCUUCGCAAGGAGUGUAUUCUGAUGAUAAGCAAGUCAACAUCAGUCUAUGGGUGUCGGAGAAGGGUUUUGAGAAUGUAGCAAUUUAAUUGUGUUAUAGCUUGAGACUUGGAUACGAUGCUUUGGAUUGAGGAACGCGUAGUAAGCUUUGAGCGGAUUCGAAAGGAUCUCCUUACUAUGGAUGUUGGUGAAAUAACUUAACACGACCCGUCUU
rnacentral:rRNA from 1 species